AUAAGGGUGAGCACAGAGCUGGAGGAGAUUCAAAGAUUAGCUCCUGGUACACUCAGACAAUACAUGCUGCAGUACCCACAGAGUCACAGUUAGAAAGCCUAAGUAGUUAGAAACAGCAUUCUCAACAAGAUUAGGGAAAUCAAAUGAUUUACCAAACAUUUGAGCAAAACCAAUUUCAUGCAAAGAAGCGCCAAGCUCCGCAGACAGACAUAUGCUUGCACAGACAUACUACACAUGCAGGCCCACAUAUACACUGGGAGGGAACAGUACAAACAGCACACAUGAGAAAACUAAAACGAACAGCAAGGGUCAAAACUCAUCAUUACAAAAAAAAAAAAAAAAAAAAAAAAAAAAAAAAAAAAACAGACCCAUGGAAACAUAAAUGAUGACACAGUCUGUAUGUAGCCACAAAGCAGAAAAAGGCGUCAAUGAAACAAAAAGAUGAUAUAUUUCAGAAAUGAAAUAUGUGACAAUAAAAAUCAAGGAUUCAAGGCCAAAUAUUAAACAAACACGGCUGAAGAGUAACCCAGGGACUCAGAGUCUUUCAGCUCAUAUGCAGACUGCCGGGGAAAUGAGAGGAAAGUCAAGAAGCUCAGAGAAAGCUACGAUGUCAUAUGAUAGGAUUUCCUGGUGGAAUACAUAGGACUGAGAGGAAAAAUAAAGAAAUAAAAUCAAAAUUUCAGAGAUCUGACAGAGUUUUAAAUGAUGUUUCAUUGAGUGCCAACAAUAGGACUGAGAAAAAUAAAACACCCCACUGAUAGAACAUGAUGGUCAAUUUUUUAGAGCUUCUUGAUAACAAGAAAUCUUAAAAGCCUCUGAGGAGGAGCCAGGACUCAGAGGACAGGCAGGAGAUUUGCCUGGUCUACAUAGUAAGACUGUGAAUCGGGAAAAGGGUGUGUGUGUGUGUGUGUGUGUGUGUAAUUAUUAGAGACAAAAAGUAUCACGUUGGCUUAAACUGUACUAAGUAACAUUCUAAGUGUCAAAGUGAACACUACUUUGCAUUUAGAAUCUAUAAUUUGACAGACUAUCAGACAAGUAUAGUGACAAAAUAAAACAAUUUCUAACCUAAAUGGAGUUGGAAAAUUGAUUUCCCAUAAACGCUAGUGGAAAUAAUGGCUGGAAACUGUGUUCCUGCAAAAGAAAACACGAGUCUGGGAGGAAAGUAAACAAAUCAAUAGUAACCAAAGGAGCAUUUAAGGCACGACAGACGAAUCUAAAUGAAAGUUCAUUUUCUUUUAAAAAAUGUCACUGUCUGGGGCUGAAGAGAAGACUCAAAAGUUACAGCACCCGUUGCUGUUCCAAAGGACUUGGGCUCUAUCAUCAGCCCCACAUCACCCCCAGGAACUCCAGUUCCAGGGGUUCUGACAACCUCUGCUUAUUUCCUUAGGAACUAGGCAUGUAAACGGUGUUCAGACAGACGUGCAGACAAAGCAUUCAUAGACACGAAAUAAAUACAUUUUUAAGAAUUCAACACCCAAACUCAUUUUAACCUCCUUCCACAAUAACUAUAUUAUAAAUAAUUUGGAAUCUUAAUGAAGAUAUAAUACCAUAUAUGAAGGAAAAUGAUUUUUCUGAAGAAAUUAAAUAGAAGCUAUGAAUAAGUUACCAUGCUUUGAAAGAACAUCAAUAAAUAUGUCAGAGCUUUGUAAACUAAGAUACAAGUACCAUGGAUUAAUAUUAAAAGUAUCCACAGGUUUAUAACUAGUUUAAAAAAAACUUUCUCUAAAAUUCACUUAGGAAAUGAAAUUUUUAGAAUCCACAAAAAGGGAGGAACACUGAGGAAGAAUGUAUAUGUGUGUGCAUGUACAUCUGCACGUAGAAAUGUUCUUUCAUAAACAGCAAAUCACUAUUAUGCAUAUACAAUAAUUAGAGUACUGGCAAACGAAUAUACAAAUAACCAAGAAAAUGGGGCAGAGACAAAUGCAUGAACGGGAAAUAAUGUCUAAAGAAGGUUUUUCACUUCAAUGGGUAAAAGGUGGACAGUAAUGAAUGCUAGUGACUAAACUGUCCAUAUGCUUAAGAGAAAUGUCCCAAUACGAAGAGGGUAAAAGUGCUUGCCACCAACCCUGGCUAAGUUCAAUCACUGGACCCCACACAAUGGAAGGAGAAAAUAGACUCCUGCAAGUUGUUCUCUGACCUUUCCAAGUGCUUCACACACACACACACACACACACACACACACACACACAAAUAAUGAAAUGUAAUAUAUCCUUGCAAUACUGCUUUGUAACAGCAACGUGACUGAAGACAUCACAAGGGUCUGUCUAUGCUGGCUAUCAAGUGAUAGGAUUACAGAGACAACCCUCUUACGAGCUUGAAAUUAUACUGUUUAGUUGUUUAUUCUGGAUUUUAUUUAUAUAACACAUCAGAUAUCUUUGAGAACAAGGUGUUUGACAAAGCAUCUCAAUAAGCACAAACUGAUUUAUCUCCAUAUUAAAUGUAUGCUAGACAUUAACUCAAGUAUAUGUAGAGCAAAGGUCAUUCUAUUUCUAAGAGCACAUAUUUAAUUUUGUAUAUGUAUGAUAAAUAUGCUAAAAUAUAUGCUAUAAAACACAAAAACUCUUCAGGAUUUUCCACAUAGUUAUUUCCUGUAUUUGGUAGAGAUAUACAUAUAUAGAUAAAAAGUGUUCUUUUAAUUAACACUGCAUCAUUCUUAUUUAAAUAACACUUUAAAUCACUCUGAAGUACAUUAUAACAAUAUCAAAUGGUACUACAUGAUACUAUAAUCAUUUAAAUAAGUAGAGAAGACAAAACUGAGGUAGGACUAGUGCCUCACUACAAACAUUUACAAAGGGAACUAGAACAAAGAUUGAAAAGUUCUGAAUCCUAUGGUCUUAUUCUGCUGCUCAUUCACAUAGCUUUUUCAUACUUAAAGAGUGGCUCCCUGGCCUCGAACCCGUGAUCCUCCUGCCUCUGCCUCCUUCAGCAAAUCCUACCGGUGUGCGCCACCACCCAUCACUGGAAAGAGAGGCCCAUUGGACUUGCAAACUUUAUAUGCCCCAGUACAGGGGAACGCCAGGGCCAAAAAGGGGGAGAGGGUGGGUAGGGGAGUGGGGGGUAUGGGGGACUUUUGGGAUAGCAUUGGAAAUGUAAAUGAGGAAAAUACCUAAUAAAAUUUUUUUAAAAAAUUAAUUUCAGAGCCACGCUUCUGUAAUUAUGAAAACUAUCCACGAUUUAUCUAUUUCUGUCUUUUAAAUAUAGAUACAUUUUAAAUGAAAAAAAAGAUGCAAUUUGAAUACCUAGAAUACUGUGUUCUUUGUUUUAGUAAAUAAAACUUUAAUGAGGAUUCAGGACUCUUAUUUGGUAUCCAUCUCACUAUGAGACUUUUGGCGAUUUUUAAGAAGGAAAGUUUGCACAAAAGAAGCAUUUCCUUAUUACCAGCUUUGUUCCUUUGAAGUCUAUGGCAGCUGACAUCUGCCUGAGUGGGUCCUGCAAAGACGUCUAUUGUGUAUCAUUAGUGGUGCAGUAAGUUGGUUAUUUAUGUUUUAAAGUCCAAUCAUACCGGGAUCCUUUGUUUUGCUUUUGAAGAUUGCUGUUACAAU
rnacentral:lncRNA from 1 species